UACAGAGAGGCAUGCAAGCGUUUGAUUCGGAAUUCACUGGGCGUAAAGGGGUGCGCAGGCGGCCAAGUAGUGUGAGGCGUGAAAGCCCGGGGCUUAACCCCGGAAUUGCACCUCAAACUACAUGGCUAGAGGCAUUGGAGAGGUAGCAGAAUUCAAUGGUGUAGCAGUGAAAUGCGUAGAUAUCAUGAGGAAUACCAGAGGGCGAAGGCUGGCUACCUGGACGAAUUGCUGACGGCUCAGGCAACGAAAGCGUGGGGAGCAAAAGGG
rnacentral:rRNA from 1 species